ensembl:lncRNA SEPTIN7P11 septin 7 pseudogene 11
GCAUGUGCGGAUGACUGGCCGCAGGCGGCCGGGCGGGCUGUAACCCGCCGCUGAACUAGCGCUUCUGUGUCCAGAGGCUUCGGCCUGGCCGCCGUCGCCUGUAAGCUACGAGGAGGAGAUUUACGACUUGGCCGGGCGCAGCAAAGGCCAGACUCUGCGCGAACAGGCGCUGCGCACCAACCGGCAGGCACCUGGCGGGCACCAUCGCACGGUGGCGCAGAAGCCCCUCAAUGGCCAGCGCCAGCUGCAGCCGCGGCCGCGCAGUCGUCCCACCUGAGCUUGGGCGAAUGUGGAUUGGGAAAGUCGACAUUAAUCAACUCAUUAUUCCUCAUAGAUUUGUAUUCUCCAGAGUAUCCAGGUCCUUCUCACAGAAUUAAAAAGACUGUACAGCUGGCAGCCUGUUAUCGAUUACAUUGAUAGUAAAUUUGAGGACUACCUAAAUGCAGAAUCAUGCGUGAACAGACAUCAGAUGCCUGAUAACAGGGUGCAGUGUUGUUCAUACUUCAUUGCUCCUUCAGGACAUGGACUUAAACCAUUGGAUAUUGAGUUUAUGAAGCGUUUGCAUGAAAAAGUGAGUAUCACCCCACUUAUUGCCAAAGCAGACACACUCACACCAGAGGAAUGCCAACAGUUUAAAAAACAGUCCCUCCAAUAUUGCCUGGGAACUUCUGGUAACAGCAAACGGAGGCCCCAUAUGAAAAAAAACAGGAAAAGGUUUUGUCACAAUGGAAAAUACAUGCAGAGUAAAAGGGUAAGAUAUUUCUGAAGGAAAUCAGAAAAGCCCCAAAUCGAGACUUGAUUCUUAUUACUCAUAAGAGAAGACUGAAGCUUUAACAAUUAAUCUGCUUAGAACUGCAAUGUAAACUGCACGCAGCUAUUACCUGAUUUUUAUUUCCACUACUUUUCUUCCAUCACAAGCCCUAUGCAGAAAAAAAAGUGAAUGUGGCUUAUCAUCUGUUCUUAAGGAGGAUGGGGCUUGAAAAACUUUGUAAGCAGAUGAAAGAGAAGAAAUGGAGACAGACAGGUUAAGACCCCAGAGAAAAUUUGAAAGUUCCAUCUGGACAUCUUACCUGUUGAUGUGGGAGAAAAUGCCCCCAGGAAGUUUGCUGGAGAGGAAACCUCAGAAUAAAACUGAUGGGAUGAAAUGUUCUAGAAGCA